rnacentral:misc_RNA from 1 species
AUCAGGGUCAAGCUCUAGUUCAGAUUCUAGGAUAAAUCAGAGCAGAAGUAGUUCAAUGUCAUCUGUCUUUCUUGCUACAGCAAGAAGACGCAGAGGCUGGGGUUUCGAAGCUAAUAAUGGAGUUAGAAGAUGGUAACUGGAGUACCGGCGGACAAGACAAGUUUAUCAUCAUUGUAAAUACACUGGAAGUGAAUGCUGGCUCUUCAAUGGCAAGCAAGAAUUUAUUUUUGAUAUUUAUUAAGAUGAUAUUUAUGCAAAUGAAUUGAAGAUCCUAUAGCAGGGGAGGAUGAUAUUGGAAUAUAUUAGUGUAAGAAUUGGCUCCCUGCAGUGUAAUUCUUCCUUUUUAUUCUUUUAUCUGUUCCCUUUUAAGAUUUAGUGUCUUUUAAAUUCCGCCCGAUUGUUCGAUAAAUCUAUUGGAACUAAUGAAGCUUUACAUGAAUUCUCAGU